GACGGAGGAGGCAAGCAUUGUCCGGAAUUAUUGGGCGUAAAGAACACGUAGGCGGUUUGUCAAGUCAUAUGUGAAAACCUUGGGCUUAACUUAAGGAUUGCAUAUGAUACUGGUAAACUAGAGUAUAGUAGAGGAAAGCGGAAUUCCUGGUGUAGCGGUGAAAUGCGCAGAUAUCAGGAAGAACACCAGUGGCGAAAGCGGCUUUCUGGACUGUUACUGACGCUGAGGUGUGAAAGCUAGGGGAGCGAACAGG
rnacentral:rRNA from 1 species